rnacentral:lncRNA from 1 species
GCAAGGUCUCUGGUCACCACCUGCUCAGUCGAGGUCUGUAAAAUCCAACAUCCAGUGACGGUGUCGUGCAGCCUUCCUUACAGGGCUGCUCUAAGGGGGGAAAUGGUUGGGAUAACAUGCUGUGUGUGAAAAUACAGCAAGCUGCGGUCGGCUCUGGAAACUAAGUGGUAGUGUGAAGUCUCAGGAAGCUGGCCCACUUGAAGGUGUGAGAGGAAGGUGAGAGGAAGGUGUAACCAUGGCGCUCCCCUUUCAGAAAGGGCUGGAGAAAUACAAGAACAUCGACGAGGACGAGCUUCUUGGCAAACUCUCAGAAGAGGAACUGAAACAGUUGGAAAAUGUUCUAGAUGACCUAGAUCCCGAGAGUGCAACACUACCGGCUGGAUUCCGACAGAAAGACCAGACCCAGAAAGCAGCCACUGGCCCAUUUGACCGUGAGCAUCUGCUCAUGUAUCUGGAGAAAGAGGCUUUGGAACAGAAAGACAGGGAGGAUUUCGUACCCUUCACAGGAGAAAAGAAAGG